UCCCUGGUGGUCCAGUGAGUAAGACUCUGCACUCCCAAUGCAAUGGGCCGGGAUUCGAUCCCCGGUCAGAGAA
rnacentral:tRNA from 1 species